rnacentral:rRNA from 1 species
GAUGAACGCUGGCGGCGGGCCUAACACAUGCAAGUCGAACGAUGUAGCAAUACAUAGUGGCGCACGGGUGCGUAACGCGUGGGAAUAUACCCUUAGGUGCGGAAUAAUGUCUGGAAACGGACACUAAUACCGCAUAAUGACUCCGGUCCAAAGAUUUAUCGCCUAGGGAUUAGCCCGCGUCUGAUUAGUUAGUUGGUAGGGUAAUGGCCUACCAAGACGAUGAUCAGUAGCUGGUCUGAGAGGAUGAUCAGCCACACUGGAACUGAGACACGGUCCAGACUCCUACGGGAGGCAGCAGUGAGGAAUAUUGGACAAUGGGCGCAAGCCUGAUCCAGCCAUGCCGCGUGAGUGAAGAAGGCCUUAGGGUUGUAAAGCUCUUUUAAUAGUGACGAUAAUGACGGUAGCUAUAGAAAAAGCCCCGGCUAAAUUCGUGCCAGCAGCCGCCGCGG